rnacentral:rRNA from 1 species
CGAACGGGUGAGUAACACGUGAGUAAUCUGCCCUUGGGUCCGGGAUAACACUUCGAAAGGGGUGCUAAUACCGGAUAAGACCACGGGGUCGCAUGGCCCAGAGGGAAAAGAUGGCCUCUCCUUGGAAGCUGUCGCCUGUGGAUGAGCUCGCGGACCAUUAGCUUGUUGGUGGGGUAAAGGCCCACCAAGGCUACGAUGGUUAGCCGACCUGAGAGGGUGAUCGGCCACACUGGAACUGAGACACGGUCCAGACUCCUACGGGAGGCAGCAGUGGGGAAUAUUGCGCAAUGGGGGAAACCCUGACGCAGCAACGCCGCGUGCGCGAUGAAGGCCUUCGGGUUGUAAAGCGCUGUCAGGAGGGACGAAAAGGCCCGAUUGAAUAGGUCGGGUUCUUGACGGU